rnacentral:rRNA from 1 species
UACGAAGGGGGCUAGCGUUGUUCGGAAUUACUGGGCGGAAAGCGCACGUAGGCGGACUAUUAAGUCAGGGGUGAAAUCCCGGGGCUCAACCCCGGAACUGCCUUUGAUACUGGUAGUCUCGAGUCCGGAAGAGGUGAGUGGAAUUCCGAGUGUAGAGGUGAAAUUCGUAGAUAUUCGGAGGAACACCAGUGGCGAAGGCGGCUCACUGGCCCGAUACUGACGCUGAGGCACGAAAGCGUGGGGAGCAAACAGG